GCUCAGAUUGAACGCUGGCGGCAGGCUUAACACAUGCAAGUCGAGCGGGGAAGUAUAGCUUGCUAUACGACCUAGCGGCGGACGGGUGAGUAAUGCUUAGGAAUCUGCCUAUUAGUGGGGGACAACAUUCCGAAAGGAAUGCUAAUACCGCAUACGCCCUACGGGGGAAAGCAGGGGAUCUUCGGACCUUGCGCUAAUAGAUGAGCCUAAGUCAGAUUAGCUAGUUGGUGGGGUAAAGGCCUACCAAGGCGACGAUCUGUAGCGGGUCUGAGAGGAUGAUCCGCCACACUGGGACUGAGACACGGCCCAGACUCCUACGGGAGGCAGCAGAAGGG
rnacentral:rRNA from 1 species